GUAUUCAAGGAGCAGGAGAACAACAAUACGGAACGCUGAUGCUUUAAGCGCUGAAACGGAGCCCCGAGAUGGCCGCGUCUCGCUCCCGCGGAGUAUAUAAUCCUGAAGAUUUCACACCAGAAAGUUGACUACA